rnacentral:misc_RNA from 1 species
UCUGCCAAUGAAACACCAUCCACUUCUUGAGGGGCCGAAUCUACGAAGUAUACACCCUCCUCUUCUUCCUCAUCAUCCUUCUCAACCGGCUCGAUCUUCGGCUCACGAACCUUCAGCCGGUUGAACCCCUUCAUGUGGCGGCCAUGGUCUGUAUCCUUCUCCUUGAUCUUCCUCAGUUUCUUCUGCACAAUCGAUGAAGCAGUAUCUAUACUCUCAUAUAGUGUUUCGGAGUCCAUCUCCGCACGGAUCACCCCAUGCUUCUUGGUGAACACAGUGACCUCGCAUCUGCGGACUCUGGCACCUCUCCCGAACUCACCGCCGCGAGCCGAGAGCCGAACAUCCGCCUCACGCACAAGGUGGCUGUGCUUCUGUAAGGCCUUUCCCACCUUGUCCUCAACAUGCUUCUUGACGGCAUCACUCAGAUUGAGGUUCUUGCCCUGCAUGAUGAGCCGGACGGAGGAGAGGGCGCCGUCCCAGGACAUGCGUGCGCCGAGAGCGGUGCCGGCCGGCGAGGCAUCGCCGG